UGCCUCCAGGGGCUGCUUUGCUUCUGUUGGGUGGGCAGGUCACUGCUUGCUUGCUGAGCUCCUGAGAUGGGAAGUGGAGGAGGUAGGCCAAGCGAUGGGGGGCAGAUCGUCCUAGGAGAGCCAUGCCCACAAGAGGAGACUCAGAUUACCCCCGAUGUCUCAGGAAUUCAGCUUACUGCACACUGAUUAAUGAAACGGCGCACUGUUCUUAGGAGAUCUGAGGCUGCGGCAACUGGUGUAGAAGGGAAUGGGAAGUAUGGCCUCAGGGAUGGAGUUCUCCCUGCAUUGUUAUCUGCAGUAUUACUUUCUUGGAGCCAUAGAGGUGUACGGUGCUUUACAGAAUGAAUGAUGGUUCCCCACCUGAGAGAACAUACCAUCUAGAGGUGAGAAAAGAAG